AUUGAACGCUGGCGGCAGGCUUAACACAUGCAAGUCGAGCGGAGAUGAGGUGCUUGCACCUUAUCUUAGCGGCGGACGGGUGAGUAAUGCUUAGGAAUCUGCCUAUUAGUGGGGGACAACAUUCCGAAAGGAAUGCUAAUACCGCAUACGUCCUACGGGAGAAAGCAGGGGAUCUUCGGACCUUGCGCUAAUAGAUGAGCCUAAGUCGGAUUAGCUAGUUGGUUGGGUAAAGGCCUACCAAGGCGACGAUCUGUAGCGGGUCUGAGAGGAUGAUCCGCCACACUGGGACUGAGACACGGCCCAGACUCCUGCGGGAGGCAGCAGUGGGGAAUAUUGGACAAUGGGGGGAACCCUGAUCCAGCCAUGCCGCGUGUGUGAAGAAGGCCUUUUGGUUGUAAAGCACUUUAAGCGAGGAGGAGGCUACUAGUACUAAUACUACUGGAUAGUGGACGUUACUCGCAGAAUAAGCACCGGCUAACUCUGUGCCAGCCGCCGCAGUAA
rnacentral:rRNA from 1 species